GCGGAUGUGGUGGAAUUGGUAGACACGCAGCCUUGAGGGGGCUGUGGCCUUACGGCCGUGAGAGUUCGAGUCUCUCCAUCCGCACCA
rnacentral:tRNA from 1 species